GGUGUAUAAUUCAAUUUACAAAACAGCCCUGGUAGGUACACGGCAAUAUUAUUGUCCCGCGCGACUUACGAAGGGUUAACGUUUAAUCGGCACGUUACAUUUUCCCGACGCGUAAACGUCUACGGUCUUAUAGGACGGGUAUUUAUCACGAACCUAUUAACCCCCCCCCUCCCCAUCCCACCUACCGCGCGUGUGUAUUUCGAUGUCCUCGACGGUUUCAUUACUCGGACUGUAUUGUUAUUUUGACUUUUUCUGGUUUUUUUUUUUUUGUAAAUUUCCGAACCCAAUACCUUGAUUUGAUUUUUCAACGGCAU